rnacentral:rRNA from 1 species
UAGCACCGCUGGUGCUCGAGUUGUAAUUUGUAGAGUGGAUCCUUGGGGCCGUUCCUUGCCUAUGUUCCUUGGAACAGGACGUCAUGGAGGGUGAGAACCCCGUGUGGCGAGGGGCGCGGCUCCGUGUAAGGGCUGCUCGAAGAGUCGAGUUGUUUGGGAAUGCAGCUCUAAGUGGGUGGUAAAUUCCAUCUAAAGCUAAAUACAGGCGAGAGACCGAUAGCGAACAAGUACAGUGAUGGAAAGAUGAAAAGAACUUUGAAAAGAGAGUGAAAAAGUACGUGAAAUUGUUGAAAGGGAAGGGCAUUUGAUCAGACAUGGUGUU